UGCGGAGGGAUCAUUACAAGUGACCCCGGUUUACCACCGGGAUGUUCAUAACCCUUUGUUGUCCGACUCUGUUGCCUCCGGGGCGACCCUGCCUUCGGGCGGGGGCUCCGGGUGGACACUUCAAACUCUUGCGUAACUUUGCAGUCUGAGUAAACUUAAUUAAUAAAUUAAAACUUUUAACAACGGAUCUCUUGGUUCUGGCAUCGAUGAAGAACGCAGCGAAAUGCGAUAAGUAAUGUGAAUUGCAGAAUUCAGUGAAUCAUCGAAUCUUUGAACGCACAUUGCGCCCCCUGGUAUUCCGGGGGGCAUGCCUGUUCGAGCGUCAUUUCACCACUCAAGCCUCGCUUGGUAUUGGGCAACGCGGUCCGCCGCGUGCCUCAAAUCGACCGGCUGGGUCUUCUGUCCCCUAAGCGUUGUGGAAACUAUUCGCUAAAGGGUGUUCGGGAGGCUACGCCGUAAAACAACCCCAUUUCUAAGGUUGACCUCGGAUCAGGUAGGGAUACCCGCUGAACUUAAGCAU
rnacentral:rRNA from 1 species